UAACAGAGGGUGCAAGCGUUAAUCGGAUUUACUGGGCGUAAAGGCGCGACGUAGGCGGCUAAUUAAGUCAAAUGUGAAAUCCCCGAGCUUAAACUUGGGGAAUUGCAUUCGAUACUGGUUAGCUAGAGUGUGGGAGAGGAGUGGUAGAAUUCCAGGUGUAGCGGUGAAAAUGCGUAGAGAUCUGGAGGAAUACCGAUGGCGAAGGCAAGCCAUCUGGCCUAACGACUGACGCUGAGGUGCGAAAGCAUGGGGAGCAAACAGGG
rnacentral:rRNA from 1 species